AACAAAAGAGACCCAGCCAGAGCAAAACUAACAGACAGAACUGCAAAAAAGCCACUAAUUUCCAUUUUCCCACCCCCUUAUCUUAUAUGCAUUUUCCAAUCAAAAUUUUUAGGUUGUCAUGAACAUGAAAGACUCAACCUCAACAAAUAAUAAUAAACAAAAAGCUCUACAGCUCUACUUCCACUUCCCGCCAAAUGGACACAGGUUGGUGACACUGAAUUCACGCCAAAUAAAUGAAAAAAUAGAACAAUUUUCUUUUUCGUCAAUUUCUUCACGUGAAGUUUAUAACGAACAAACUUAGAUGUCAAAGUGUGCUUUUACACGUCAAAUUUGGCCUUGAAUAACUUGGUCAAUUUCUUGUCCAAUUUAUUGUUGAUGUAAAGUGGACUUUAGUAAGGCCCGGUCUUUUCACCUCCGAAUAAAUAGUUAACGGGAAGUUUAUCUGACAGAUAAAAAAAGUAGCGUCUUUUCACUCUGGAAUAAAGUUAUCCGGCAGAUAAAUUGACGUUAAGGCCCGGUCUUUUCACCUCCGGAUAAAUAUUUAACGGGAAGUUUAUCUGACAGAUAAAAAAAGUAGCGUCUUUUCACUCCGGAAUAAAGUUAUCCGGCAGAUAAAUUGACGUUAAAUAUCAAAUAUUUAACUGCCGAAUAAAGUACCGAAUAAAAAGUUAUCUGGAAGAUAAACUUUACUUUUUGUAUAUUUCAUGGUUUUUGGUUGCCACGAAACUAAAAAUGUAACCUAAAAUCUUGUAGACAUAUAAAAUCCGUAGGUUACCGCGAAAAGCGAAAAUAAAAAUAUAAUAAGUUUAUGUGUUUCGUUUAUUUGGUGGUUUAUUUUGUGUGUGUGAGAAAUAUGGAUCCUGUAUUGGAAGACCUAGAUUUAGGCCCGGUCUUUUCACCUCCGAAUAAAUAUGCUCUUAUCUGGCAGUUAGCUAUCUGGAGGAUAAAUAUUUAUUCGCCAGAUAAAAAGUACCCGUCUUUUCACGUCAAUUUAUGUUCCAGUUAGUUAUCCGGUAGAUAAGCUUAAAAGUAAGUUUGGAUUCCGAACACACCUGACUUUUAUGUUUAUUUUUAUAAUUUCAGCUUUAACUUAACCUAACAUAAUUAGAUUCAAAGUAUUUCAAAGAUAAUUUUAUCGAUUUUAUUUCCAUUUUGGAAGAAGGAAUGAAGGAAAUAAGGAAAACAUUGAUUAUGCUGAAAUAGUUUACUGGAGAGCUUGAACAAGAGGUAAAUCCAUUUUAAAUUAGAGGAAAACUGUUGAUUUGUAUGUAAAAUAGAAGACAAAGACAAGUUUAAAUAAAGACAAGCUAGCUAAUGAAACAGAUGCAGUGAUAUGACAAACACCUAGAUGGAAUCCUGUGUUCUCAAAGAAAAAGCUAGUUCCAGAAAUAAGCUACCAAUAAUAAACUAGAGAAUGUAUUACAAGAAAGAACAACGCUAAUACCCAACAUAGCUCAAUUGCUUCAGAUAGAAAAAGAGGAGGAAAGGGUAGAACACAAGCGUGCCAGAGAAAAUUAAAGGGCAGAAGAGACACAAAAAUUCAUUGAUUUAUUAAAUUUAAUAAUUAAAUUAUACAAAGGACAAUUAAAUAAAGAAUAAAAAAUUA
rnacentral:lncRNA from 1 species